GACGAACGCUGGCGGCGUGCCUAAUACAUGCAAGUCGAACGAACGGACAUUAGAACUUGUUCUAACGGAAGUGAGUGGCGAACGGGUGAGUAACACGUGGGUAACCUACCUUUAAGCGGGGGAUAACAGUGGGAAACGACUGCUAAUACCGCAUAGGACAUAGCGUCACAUGACGCAGUGAGGAAAGACGGUUUCGGCUGUCACUUAGAGAUGGACCCGCGGUGCAUUAGCUAGUUGGUAAGGUAACGGCUUACCAAGGCAAUGAUGCAUAGCCGACCUGAGAGGGUGAUCGGCCACAUUGGGACUGAGACACGGCCCAAACUCCUACGGGAGGCAGCAGUAGGGAAUCUUCCGCAAUGGACGAAAGUCUGACGGAGCAACGCCGCGUGAGUGAAGAAGGUCUUCGGAUCGUAAAGCUCUGUUGUUAGAGAAGAAGAGUUGUGGGAGUAACUGCCCGUAAUGUGACGGUAUCUAACCAGAAAGCCACGGCUAACUACGUG
rnacentral:rRNA from 1 species